GGCGGGGUGGCUGAGAUGAAAGCGUUAGGCUGUAAACCUAGUUACAGGGGAAACCUCAAUCCUCUUCCCGUCU
rnacentral:tRNA from 1 species